rnacentral:rRNA from 1 species
UACGGAGUUACAAAAGAAUUUGUUAGACGAAUAACCUGGAAAGGUUAAUCAGAGAAGGUAAUAAUCCUGUAGUCGAAAACGAAUUCUCUCUUGAGUGGAUCCUGAGUACGACGGAGCACGUGAAAUUCCGUCGGAAUCUGGGAGGACCAUCUCCUAAGGCUAAAUACUCUCUAGUGACCGAUAGUGAACCAGUACCGUGAGGGAAAGGUGAAAAGUACCCCGGAAGGGGAGUGAAAGAGAACUUGAAACCGUGUGCUUACAAGUAGUCAGAGCCCGUUAAUGGGUGAUGGCGUGCCUUUUGUAGAAUGAACCGGCGAGUUACGAUCUGAUGCAAGGUUAAGCAGAAAAUGUGGAGCCGUAGCGAAAGCGAGUCUGAAUAGGGCGAAUGAGUAUUUGGUCGUAGACCCGAAACCAGGUGAUCUACCCUUGGUCAGGUUGAAGUUCAGGUAACACUGAAUGGAGGACCGAACCGACUUACGUUGAAAAGUGAGCGGAUGAACUGAGGGUAGCGGAGAAAUUCCAAUCGAACUUGGAGAUAGCUGGUUCUCUCCGAAAUAGCUUUAGGGCUAGCCUCAAGUGAUGAUUAUUGGAGGUAGAGCACUGUUUGGACGAGGGGCCCCUCUCGGGUUACCGAAUUCAGACAAACUCCGAAUGCCAAAUAAUUUAACUUGGGAGUCAGAAUGUGGGUGAUAAGGUCCAUAUUCGAAAGGGAAACAGCCCAGACCACCAGCUAAGGUCCCAAAAUAUAUGUUAAGUGGAAAAGGAUGUGGCGUUGCCCAGACAACUAGGAUGUUGGCUUAGAAGCAGCCAUCAUUUAAAGAGUGCGUAAUAGCUCACUAGUCGAGUGACACUGCGCCGAAAAUGUACCGGGGCUAAACAUAUUACCGAAGCUGUGGAUUGUCC